rfam:Macleaya cordata isolate BLH2017 scaffold8801, whole genome shotgun sequence.
ACAAAAGCAGGGAUCCGUUGCCUUUGUGAACCUGUCUCUCGUAAACUUCAGGGAAAUCACUUCAUUGUUAUUGGGUGAACCUCUGUAGAUGUUACAAUUAUCAGAAGGUUCAGUAAAUGAUGAUACACAA